UUUCCGUAGGUGAACCUGCGGAAGGAUCAUUACCGAAUUGUCAAACGGGUUGUUGCUGGUCUUCAAACGGGGCCAUGUGCACGCUCUGUUUACACAUCCACUCACACCUGUGCACCCGCCGUAGUUCUAUGGUCUGGGGGACCCUGUCUUCCUGGCGUGGUUCUACGUCUUUACACACACUCUGUAAUAAAGUCUUAUGGAAUGUAUGCCGCGUCUAACGCAAUACAAUACAACUUUCAGCAACGGAUCUCUUGGCUCUC
rnacentral:misc_RNA from 1 species